AUUGAUAUGCUUAAACUCAGCGGGUGAUCCCGCUUGACCUGGGGUCGUAAUGCGAGCAACGAUCGAGCGAUGCGAGGGGUUCGAAGGGGUCCGAGUGGACAACGAGCGCACGUCACCGGGGAUGAGACACGUUGGGAGCUCUACCAUCGAUGGUCACGGCACUGUCAUUGCCGGGGACUCAAUUUUGGGCCAACCGUGACCCACGAGAUCGAGGGAACCCAUCUUCCGCCCGCCCCCUUCCCCCGGAGCCUGACGGGUGGUGGUCGAAGGGGGGGCGACGGUGCAUGACACCCAGGCAGGCGUGCCUUCGGCCUAAUGGCUUGGGGCGCAACUUGCGUUCAAAGACUUGAUGGUUCACGGGAUUCUGCAAUUCACACCAAGUAUCGCAGUUUGCUACAUUCUUCAUCGAUGUGAGAGCUGAGAUAUCCGUUGCUGAGAGUCGUUCAAUUUUUUUAUGACAAAAGGAGACGCGGCACCACCCGCGUACGCUCCGUGGAUGGGAUGGCAACCGCACGAGUGCUCUAUUUUCAUUUCGGCUCCUUGGCAUGAUUCGCACCGGGGGUUCAUUAUUUGAAGGUAGGUGAGACAACGCCGAUCGUUUUGCCCACCCCGUAAGGGGGACAGAGCAACCGUCGCACCCGCGGUGUUUCAUUAACGCAUCCGUGGGUCAUCCGUCGAGUGGGGUUUUGACAAUGAUCCUUCCAUAGGUUCACCUACGGAAAUCUUAUUACGACUUCUCCUUCCUCUAAAUGAUAAGGUUCAGUGGACUUCUCGCAACAUCGUGGGGGUGGACCGUCCACAUCAUCACGAUCCGAACACUUCACCGAACCAUUCAAUCGGUAGGAGCGACGGGUGAUAUGUACAAAGGGCAGGACGUAGUCAACGUGAGCUGAUGACUUGUGCUUACUAGGAAUUCCUCAUUGAAGACCAACAAUUGCAAUGAUCUAUCCCCAUCAUGAUGAAAUUUUAAAGAUUACCCGGGCCUGUCGGCCAAGGCUAUAGACUCGUUGAAUACAUCAGUGUAGCACGCGUGCGGCCUAGAACAUCUAAGGGCAUCACAGACCUAUUAUUGCUUUAAACUUCCUUGGCAUAAGCGGCCGUAGUCCCUCUAAGAAGCUAGCCACAAAGGAUCACCUCCACGUAGCUAGUUAGCAGGCUGAGGUCUUGUUCAUUAAUGGAAUUAACCAGACAAAUCGAUCCACCAACUAAGAAUAGCCAUGCACCACCACCCAUAGAAUCAAGAAAGAGCUUUCAGUCUGUCAAUCCUUACUAUGUCUGGACCUGGUAAGUUUCCCUGUGUUGAGUCGAAUUAAGCCGCAGGCUCCACUCCUGGUGGUGCCCUUCCAUCAAUUCCUUUAAGUUUCAACCUUGCGACCAUACUCCCCCCGAAACCCAAAGACUUUGAUUUCUCAUAAGGUGCCGACCGAAUCCUAAAAGUAACAUCCAUCGAUCCCUGGUCGGCAUCGUUUAUGGUUGAGACUAAGACGGUAUCUGAUCGUCUUCGAGCCCUUAACUUUUGUUCUUGAUUAAUGAAAACAUCCUUGGCAAAUGCUUUCACGGUUGUUCGUCUUUCAUAAAUCCAAGAAUUUCACCUUUGACUAUAAAAUACGAAUGCCCCUAGCUGUCCCUGUUAAUCAUUACUCCGAUCUGAAGGCCAACACAAUAGGACCGAAAUCCUAUGAUUUAUCCCAUGCUAAUGUAUACAAGCGUAGGCCUACUUUGAGCAUUCUAAUUUCUUCAAAGUAAUCGUGCCAGAGGAAUGACCCAGGUAAUUAAGUCCUGGAGCGCAUCAUCGACAGUAAGGACAGUAGACCGGUGCUCACCGUGAGACAGACCGGAUGACCUAACCCUAGUUUCAACUACGAGCUUUUUAACUGCAACAACUUAAAUAUAUGUUACUGGAGCUGAAAUUACCACGGCUGCUGGCACCAGAUUUACCCUCCAAUGGAUCUUCAUUAAGGGAUUUAGAUUGUACUCAUUCCAAUUACGAAACUUAUAGAGCCCGAAAUUAUUAUUUAUUGUCACUACCUCUCCGUGUCAGGAUUGGGUAAUUUGGGUGCCUACUGCCUUUCUUGGAUGUGGUAGCCGUUUCUCAGGCUCCCUCUUCGGAAUCGAACCCUAAUUCUCCGUCACUCGUCACCACCAUAGUAGGCCACCAUCCUACCAUCAAAAGUUGAUAGGGUAAAAAUUUGAAUGAUGUGUCACCGGCACAAAGGCCGUGCGAUCCAUCGAGUUAUCAUGAAUCAUCAGAGCAAUGGCCAUAGCCCGCAUCGACCUUUUAUCUAAUAAAUGCAUCCUUUCCAGAAGUCGGGGUUUGUUGCACGUAGUAGCUCUAGAAUUACUAUGGCUAUCCAAGUAGUAGAUACCGUCAAACAAACUAUAACUGAUUUAAUGAGCCAUUCACAGUUUCAGAGUCUGAAUUAGUUCAUACUUACACAUGCAUGGCUUAAUCUUUGAGACAAGUAUAUGACUACUGACAGGAUCAACCAGGUAGCAUUCCUUCGGGACAUUGGCACCGCGUAGACCUCGACACACCGACCUAGCGACGGAGAAAGCCCGACGCGUAGCGCAAGCAUCGUGCAUGUCGAGCACUUGAAAUGCGUAGCAUCGGACGAACGGGUCCGAGAGCCCGUGCCAGCUAAAUGUUCUGCAUCCGAGAGCACGAUCGAGUGUCGGUGCACCAAUGUGGCAACGGAGGAUUGGGUGGUGCGCUUGGGACACCGGCCACAAUUGACGUCCGACCCGUGGCCCCUUAGGACACGAGACGGAUGAAGGAUAGCAAGACAUACGAUUUCCAUUGAUUCAGGUAUGCAACACAGGAUCUCGAUCGCACCCCCUGGGUAUGACGACCGCAUAGAGGGAGAUUGAAGAGGAUGAUGGGUUGACAGUUCGAUGCAUAGAGCACAGAGCCUGCCCACACGCACAACCAUAGCACCACUCAUAUGCCCAUUGCCUACAAGUGGCAACAUCCAAACGUGCCGGUCCAUAACCCACCCGAUCGAUUACUCGAUGAGCAAGCAGAGGAAACGACGUGCGAGGCCACGCCACGAUCGCUUGGCACGAGAAAAACACGAGCAAGGGCCACGAGACUACCCUACCAUCCGACAGGCAACAACAAAGCGACACCACCAAUGCUUGGCCCGACCGGGACCGCACGUGUGAGCUCCACUGACACCACUCCAGAGGGACGUUGCCCAAUUCAGAGACUUGGUCCUAGGGUCUCAAGCAGCCUCGGCUACGUGCACGGCCUGUCGAGGCCUAGGCAUUUUUGUGGAUGACGAGAAGGGAUCGUAAGACUAUCAAAUAUCGAGAGACCUGGCCGGGCCAAGCCCAUAACCGUGGCUUCUGCUCCCACCACCCUAGGGAGCCGUUGCUCGAUUCAGGGACUUGGUCUGGGGUCUAGGGCAGCAUCCAUCACGUGCACGGGCUCAAGCUUGGCUCAUUUUUUUUGCAUGCACACCAACCGAUCGAGGCCAUGGGCACCUGCUAGUCACCGGAGCAAACAGUCAUUGGACAAAAUGCUCGAAAGGCAUGCACACCUUGUAUUUCGCUUGAGGGACAUUGCCCUGGGUGUACGUAAUGGGAGGCCCAUCACGUACACCUACUCCCCCCGUGGGGGGAGAGAGGGUGCUAGACCACCACCCCCUAAAAAGCAUUAGAGAUUUUACAAAUAUGCUACCAGUAAAUGUUAAAGUGUCUGAAAUGGGGACACUUUUUCCAAACAGGCAUAACCCAUACCGAGGGUGAGUAGGUGCCGAUGGUUGUUAGGGCAUAUGCCAGCACCAAAGGCCAGCGCGUGCCGAUGGUGGUCGAUGCGACUACCCGUACCAAGGGCCAGCGUGUGCUGAUGGUGGUGCCCGCACCAGCUCGUGGCAUGUACCCGCACUAAGGCUCGGCAUGUGCUGAUGGUGUUCGAGGCAACCGCCCACACCAAGGCUCGGUAUGUGCCAAUGGUGUUCAACGCAACCGCCCACACCAGGGGCCAUCUUCUGCCAAUGGUGGUCAAGGCAAGAGCUCGCACCAAGGGCCGGCUUGUGCCGAUGGUGGUCGAGGUAACCACCCGUACCAAGGGCCAUCUUCUACCGAUAGUGGUCGAGGCAAUCGCCCAUGUCACGGGCUUCGACCUUAGACUCAGAAUCCGUGUGGCCUUAGGCUUGGAAUCUCCUCUUUUAUGCCUAAGUCAGCCUAAAACACAAGCGUGCGGGCACUAGAACAAUGGGAAUGGCUGAUUACGCAAGUUAAAGAGAAAUAAGAUAACAAGGCAGAAUGCUAGAAUAUGCUGUAUAUUCACUUAAACAGAAGUGUUUGAUGGUGUACAAAUGAGGGUGAAACAGCCCUCUAUUUAUAGUUGAGGUUCCAGCUUACACUUAAUGGCAAUAUCCCUAAAAUAAAGGCUAAAAUCAUGGGAUUACACAGAUUACAAUCAAUCAGGAUUCUAACUCUUGAUUUCUAGGGUCAACCAAAUCUGCUAGGAGGCUCCUACUGAUCCUACAUGCUUUCAAAAGCUUUCCUUACGUUUCCAGCACCUUGGGCCCUUCUGGAUGUGAUGUGGGUAGCUUGAAUGCCAGGCCUUGGCCUCACGGGCUGGUUUGCAAGCUGGGCGGGCGUUCUGACCUCAUUUCCUAGGCCUUGCAUGCAAAUACCUGCCAGUGCACCUGGUCUGCAGGCCUCAACCUCUGGCUCACCUGCUGGUGCGCCUGAUGUGCCUGGCAUGCCCACCCAAGGUGUGACAUUCUCCCUCACCUAAUUGCCCAAUGCCCUCGUUGCGUCUUCUGCAUGGUACUACUUGAUAUAGUCCCCGAACUGUCAUAAGUCAUUUGCUGGUUCCCAGCUUGCCUCACUGUUUGGAAGUCCCUUCUAGUGCAUCAAGUACUCUUGUCUUGGUUGAUAGUUCUUCCAUCUCACCUCCCAGUCAGCUAUGAUGCUAUGGACCCCCUUUUCAUAUGAAGCCCUUGCUCCCAAUGGUGCACGCUUUGACUCUGCCCAUCUUGGAUCUCCCUCAUCCUCAUGGAACGGCUUGAGCAUGCUCACAUGGAACACCGAGUGUACCCUCAGCUUGGGUGGCAUAUCCAGCUUGUAAGCAACCUUGCCUACCCUCUUGACUACUCGAAAAGGUCCCGCAUACCUCUGGACUAGGCCUUUGUGCAGCCCCCUAUGGCGCACAAUGGAAUGCAGCUUUCACCAACACCAAGUCUCCAACCUGGAACUGCACGUCCCGUCUAUUCUGGUCUGCCUACUUUUUCGACCUCUUGGCCGCCUUGUGUAGAUAAACUUUGGCCAAGUCAGUUUGCUCCUACCAUACCUUGGCAAACUUAUAAGCUACUGGAUUCGGUCCUGUAUAACUUACAGCAAUCGAACCGGGUGUUAGUGGUUGUUACCCUAUCAUAACCUCAAAUGGGCUCUAGUUCAUUGCCUCGCUCCUUUGCAAGUUGUAGGAAAACUAUGCAACAUUUAGUAGCUUUGGCCAGUCCCUUUGUGUGGCACUCACAUAGUGCCUGAAGUAGACCUCCAAUAGUCCAUUCACUCGUUCUAUCUGCCCAUCGGUCUUCAGAUGCAUACUGGUGGAAAAGUUUAAGUCUGACCCCAACAGCUUGAACAACUCAGUCUAGAACCUGCUCGUGAACCGCCCGUCCCGAUCACUAACAAUGGUCCUCGUCACUCUCUAGUACUUAACCAUGUUCCUCAGGAACAAUCGAGCUGCCUCCUCGGUUGGGCACUCCUUGGUUGCUAGAAUGAAAAUUCCAUACUUGGAAAACCUGUCCACCACUACCAUGAUGCUUCCAAUCCCCUCUGUCUUGGGUAGACUGAAUAUAAAGUCCAGAGAAACACUCUCCCAUGGUCGUUCUGGCACUGGCAAUGGCUCUAAGAGACCCCCUGGUUUCUUGAGCUCUACCUUAUCCUGUUGGCACACAAGACAAGUCUUCACAUAGGCCUCCACAUCGUCCCUCAUGUGCAGCCAGUAGUACCGAUCCUCGAUCAGCGCUAAGGUGUGACUCACUCCUGGGUGUCUAGCCCACCUUGAGUAAUGACAUUCUUGUAAAACUUCUUUAGGGAGCUUCUCAUGCUAUGGUACAAACAGUCUACUGCCCCUGGUGUACAACAAGCCAUCAUGCAACCAAAACCACCUAGUCUUACCUUACUGGGAGUACUUCAUAAGAGCCUUGGCUGAAGAUUAUACGCAAGUCCCUUUUUGAUGCGCGGCACUAGUGACCCCUCUGGUUGGCUGAUGGCAGUAAGGUUAGCCUUCCUGUUCAGGGCGUCUGCCACUAGGUUCGCCCGCUUCAGCUUGUACUCUAUUUAGAAAUCAAAUUUCAUAAGAUACUUGUGCUGAAAUAAAAUCGGUGCACCAUAGGGUGCCUUCGAUGGCCUGAUGAAGCCAGCAUCAACUAACUCUUUGAGCUGCUUCCUUAACUCCUUCAACUCUGGUGGAGACAUUCGAUAAGGGGCUCUAGCUGGUGGCUUGGCGUCGAACACUAGCUCGAUCUUGUGGUUCACCUCCCUCUUAGGUGGUAGCUUGCUAGGCAACUUUGUAAGCAUCACAUCACUAAAGGUCUUCAGCACUUUUAGCACCUCCAAGGGUGACUCGGUCUCCUUCUCCCUUGGCUCAUCAUAUUUCAAGGCUGCCAAGAAGGUGUCUUCUUGUCUGCUUACCACCUUGGCAAAUUGGAUGGCUGACACCACCCGUGACCCAACUCCAGACCCUCUCCUCAAUGGCACUAGGCAUUGGCACCGUGCAUCCAAGAUGCAAACACAAUCGAUAAAAGGCAUAAGGAGGGCGUUAAUCCGAACAAAGAAAUCCAACCCAAUCACAAACUCAUAGUCAUCAAGGGGUAUUACCUCUAUGGUCUCCUUACCUUUCCAGUCUCCAAGCUGUAACUCCACCCCCCGUGUUACUCCAAUGGUUGGAACCUCUUUGGAGUUCACUGUUUUACUGGUACCAGUCCCUUUCUGCACCUUUAGUUUAAGCUUUUGGGGUCCAUCACCUGAAAUAAAAAGAUGUGAGGCACCUGUAUCCACCAGUGCGCUCACCUUCUGACCCGUAACCAUCAGAUCUAUAAACAUCAAGCUUUUUGGCUGGCGGCUCCCCUUACUCUAGACAGCAUUGAGCACCAACAACCUAAGUUUUACUGCUUCUGACUUUGGCUCCUUGUCAGACUCCUUGUCUACAGCAGCCAGCUUGCCCUUUUACGGGUAAUUGUGUGCUAUGUGGCUCCCUCCACAUAGGUAGCAUGUUAGUGGCUUUCGAUCCCCUUUUGUUUUGCCACUUACCUACUGGUGGCUUCCUUUCGCCAUCCUUGGUUGAUCGGUCUCGAUCCCCUUCCUUAGACUCCCGGUCAUAGUCCUUCCCCUUGGACUGCUACUUUCAAUCCCUAUCAUCCCUGCCCUUACCCUUGGGCUUGGAAGACUCAAACUUGUUCAAAGGCUUGAACUCUAUCAAGGCCUCGGCAGUAGUCAUGGCUUUAGCCAAGUCAUGAACUCCCUUCCGUUGUAGCUCAUGCUUCACCCACGACUUCAGCCCAUCCAUGAAAGCAAAUAAGGCAUUUUUCUCGCCUAGAUCUGAGAUAUGUAGCAUUAGUUCAGAGAAUUUCUGGAAAUACUCCCUUAUGUCCCCUUGCUGGCUAAGCCAGCGUAACUUUGCCCGCACCUCAUCAUUGGCAUACUUAGGGUAAAAUUGCUCUCUGAACUCCUUUUGGAACUCUGCCCAGGUUCCAAUCUUGGCGCUCCCAUGCCUGACAUCAUCACACCUGCGCCUCCACCAUAAUAAGGCUACAUCAGUGAGAUACAUAGCAGCGGUGCUUACCUUUAUCACCUCAUUUUGCAUGCCCAUGGAGUGGAAGUACUGUUCCAUACCCCAAAGGUAGUUGUCUACUUCCUUAGUCGCUCUAGUCCCCUUAAACUCCUUAGGCUUGGGGACAUCCAAUCUGGACUUGGACACUCCAGCAAACAUGCCAUUCCCAAUAGCAGUCUUGCAAGCAACGAGCUCACUGGUAAGCUCUUUCAUCCGUUGGAGCAUGGCCUCCAUACCAUCUCGCAAAGUCAGCACUUUAGCCUCUAAGGCCCCAUUCUUUUGAGUGAACACGUCCAAGCCUUUGUUGAGAGCAGCUUGCAGCUCACUUUGGAUCUCCUCUCUCAUGGAGUCUAGCGAUGCAAUGUGAGUCUCUACCUCCUCAAGCUUCUCCCCCAUGUUGCCCAUGGUCACCUUCACCUUGGCCAACCUACUAUCUAUGGUAGACCAGAUAUCUCUAGAAUUGGCUUUCCUACCUCUUCCACUCCCAUGCUCUUGGGCCUCUGGUUGUUGGUUAGCAACAUCACUUUGGGAUGCCAUCUCCUCAAUCACGAUCUAACCUGCACAACACAAACACGUAGAAUUGAACUUGCUCUAAUACCAACUAUCACGGGCUCCGACCUUAGACUCAAAAUUCGUUCAGCCUUAAGCUUGGAAUCUCCUUCUUUAUGCCUAAGUCAACCCAAAACACAAGCGUGCGAGCACUAGAACAAUGGGAAGGGCUAAUUAUGCAAGUUAAAGAGAAACAAGAUAACAAGGCAGAAUGCUAGAAUAUGCUGUAUAUUCACUGAAACAAAAGUGUUUGAUGGUGUACAAAUAAGGGUGGAGCAGCCCUCUAUUUAUAGUUGAGGCUCUAGCUUACACUUAAUGGCAAUAUCCCUAGAAUAAAGGCUAAAAUCAUGGGAUUAUAUAGAUUACAAUCAAAAAGGAUUAUAACUCAUGAUUUAUAGGGUCAACCAAAUCUGCCUGCUGAUCCUGCAUGCUUCCAGAAGCUUCCCUUGCGUGUCCAGCACCUUGGGCCCUUCUGGAUGUGGUGCGGGCAGCUUGUAUGCCAGGCCUUAGCCUCACGGGCUGGCAUGCAAGCUGGGCGGGCGUUCUAACCUCGUCUACUAGGCCUUGCACUCAAAUACCCACCAGUGCUCCUGGUCUACGGGCCUCAACCUCUGGCUCACCUGCUGGUGCGCCUGAUGUGCCUGGUGCGCCUUAUGUGCCUGGUACGCCCGUUCAGGGCAUGACAUCCACACUAGGGGCCAUCUUCUACCUAUUGUGGUUGAGGCAAGAGCCCACACCAAGGGUCGGCUUGUGUCGAUGGUGGUCGAGGCAACCGCCCACACUAGGGGCCAUCAUCUGCCAAUGGUGGUCGAGGCAACCACCCACACCAAGGCCCAGCAUGUGUCGAUGGUGUUCGAGGCAACCGCCUGCACCAAGGCUCAGCAUGUGCCGAUGGUGUUCGAGGCAACCGCCUACACCAGGGGCCAUCUUGUAUCGAUAGUGGUCGAGGCAACCACCUGUACCAAGGCCCAACACGUGUCGAUGGUGUUCGAGGCAUCCGUCCGCACUAGGAGCCAUCUUCUAUCGAUGGUGGUCGAGGCAACCGCCCACACCAAGGCCCAGCAUGUGUCGAUGGUGUUCGAUACAACUGCCCACACCAGAGGCCAUCUUGUGCCGAUGGUGGUAUAGGCAACUACUCACACGAAGGGUCGAUUGGUGCCGAUGGUGCUCGAGGUAACAGCCCACACCAAGGCCUGGCAGUGUCGAUGGUGUUCGAGGCAACCACCGGCACCAAGGCUCUGCAUGUGCCGAUGGUGGUUGAGGCAACCGCUUGCACCACGGCCCAGCAUAUGCCAAUGGUGUUCGAUGUAACUGCCCGCACCAAGGGUCAUCUUGUGCCGAUGGUGGUCGAGGCAACCGUCCGUACCAAGGGUCGGCUUAUACCGAUGGUGGUUGAGGCAACCGCCUGCACCAAGGGUCGUCAUGUGCCAAUGGUGAUCAAGGCAACCGCCCACACCAGGGCCCAGCUUGUGCCGAUGGUGAUUGAGGUAAGUGCCCAUACCAAAGGCUAGCCUGUGCCGAUAAUGGUCGAUGCAUGUGCCAUUACCAUGCGUCAUCAUAUGCCAUUGAUGGUCGAGGCCUUGGCCAAAGUUCGAUUUUGAGCCACGGUGCACAUGCUAGGCUCGACCAUGUGUUGGUGUUGCAUUUUUUUCGCCCGGGGCA
rnacentral:lncRNA from 1 species